CCUACGGGAGGCAGCAGUGAGGAAUAUUGGUCAAUGGGCGCGAGCCUGAACCAGCCAAGUCGCGUGAAGGAUGAAGGAACUAUGGUUUGUAAACUUCUUUUAUAUGGGAAUAAAGUGAGGAACGUGUUCCUGUUUGUAUGUACCUUAUGAAUAAGCAUCGGCUAACUCCGUGCCAGCAGCCGCGGUAAUACGGAGGAUGCGAGCGUUAUCCGGAUUUAUUGGGUUUAAAGGGUGCGUAGGUGGUUUAUUAAGUCAGCGGUGAAAGUUUGUGGCUCAACCAUAAAAUUGCCGUUGAAACUGGUGGACUUGAGUAGAGUUGAGGUAGGCGGAAUGCGUGGUGUAGCGGUGAAAUGCAUAGAUAUCACGCAGAACUCCGAUUGCGAAGGCAGCUUACUAAACUAUAACUGACACUGAAGCACGAAAGCGUGGGGAUCAAACAGGAUUAGAUACCCUAGUAGUC
rnacentral:rRNA from 1 species